CAGUCGCCUCGGUAAUACGGAGGGUGCAAGCGUUAAUCGGAAUUACUGGGCGUAAAGCGCACGCAGGCGGUCUGUCAAGUCAGAUGUGAAAUCCCCGGGCUUAACCUGGGAACUGCAUUUGAAACUGGCAGGCUAGAGUCUUGUAGAGGGGGGUAGAAUUCCAGGUGUAGCGGUGAAAUGCGUAGAGAUCUGGAGGAAUACCGGUGGCGAAGGCGGCCCCCUGGACAAAGACUGACGCUCAGGUGCGAAAGCGUGGGGAGCAAACAGGAUUAGAUACCCCAGUAGUCCCUGUCUCUUAUAU
rnacentral:rRNA from 1 species